AUUGAACGCUGGCGGCAUGCCUAACACAUGCAAGUCGAGCGGACGAAGGGAGCUUGCUCCUGGCUUCAGCGGCGGACGGGUGAGUAAUGCCUAGGAAUCUACCUGGUCGAUGGGGAUAAGGUCCGUACACGGGACCUUAUCCCGCAUCCGUUCUGAGGUUGAACGUGGUGGUUCUUCGGACCUCACGCUAUUUGAUGAGCCUAGGACGGAUUAGCUAGUUGGUUGGGUAAAGGCCUACCAAGGCGACGAUCCGUAGCUGAUCUGAGAGGAUGAUCAGUCACACUGGAACUGAGACACGGUCCAGACUCCUACGGGAGGCAGCAGUAGGGAAUAUUCGGCAAUGGGCGAAAGCCUGAUCCAGCAAUGCCGCGUGUGUGAAGAAGGUCUUCGGAUCGUAAAGCACUGUAAGUUGGGAGGAAGGGAAGUAAGUUAAUACCUUGCUGUUUUGACGUUACCAACAGAAUAAGCACCGGCUAACUUCGUG
rnacentral:rRNA from 1 species